ACCCCAAUCCCGCCCGUCAAUCAUGUCUGUCUCCCGUUUCUUUCCUUCUCUGCCGGCUGCCGCACCCAACCCCUCCCCUGUACCGACGGCGCCGCCUCUCCCUUCCACAGUUCCACCGAACCUAUCAGCUUACCCCGGUGCUGCUCCCCUCCCCGGCGCUGCUCCACAGUCCCCUCCCCUUCCUUGCAGCUGCUCCCCUCCCCAGGCGCCCAUACCCUCCCCGGCGCUCCUCGCCCGCCGCGCCAGCGCGAAGGGCCGCGACGUGCGGCGCACAGGGCGGCGGCAUGCCGUGCGGGGAGAAGCGACACGAGGGGCCGUGGGGUCACGGUGCGAGGGUUCGGGGCGUCGCGGCGGUGCGCCGGCGGCGGCGGCGGCGAGCCGUGCGAGGAGCCGCGAGGCCCUACGGACGCGGGGUCCUUGACGCGUGGGUCGACCGCGUCCUCGAGCUCAUCGGCAGCGGCAAGCGUGCUUUCAGACCAAAAACAAUUUCAUGGAUGUUCCGCCUCCGCAGCGACUUCUUCCCCAUACGAGAUGUCGCAGCUAGGCUUAAUUUUUCCCCGAUUUUUUCAAUCCAUAGCCUGAAUGCAUGAAAGUGAAUUACCACACCACCAUCUUCUGCACCUCCACGAGGCGACGAGGACAUGACAGCCUCGGAUACGACCAUUCGAGCAAAUCAGCAGGUGAGCUCGUUUCUAUGUACUGCAUCUUAUGAUUUUGAGAAUGACAUGCUACCUAAUAAUGUUAUUAUGGUUAGGAAUAAUGGACAGGACCUGCAGGGAGGCCUUGAGAACAAGCUUUUGUAGGCGUGAAGGGACAAGCCGGAUGUCUUACCAAGUUGGAGGCCCGGUACAACUCUAGCUCAAGUCCACCUAAAAUUUAGGCAUGAUUGGGUAAAUAUUCGGGCAUCAUUUUGAUGCUCACUGCUGCCGUCCUCGUUGAUUCGCAUCCGGCGAGCUCUAAUGUAGUGGUCCAUGGAUGCAAAUAUUUUCCCUUUGAAACAUUUUUUUGUUGUUUAUCUUACCUAUUUUUUGCAGUGGUCAAACUUUUUUCACUAAAAUUUCUUUACUAGCAUUUUCAUUUUGGUUCAAUACUUAUCUCCUCUAUUUUCACUUUGUCAUAUUUGUAAAUUGAACGAAGUUUAGCACUGGCUACAAACAACCAAGUUCUUACAUACAUCAGGUGAGUUUGUGUUUUCCUCUUAUUUCAGAUUCAAAGGUUUUAGUUUGUGAAUGAUAAAUGAAGUGUUUUUACCAUUAACUUUUGCAUGCUAGAUGGUUCUUUGUAUAUUCUCCCAUCCAAGUUGACGAGUCUAUUAGGUUGUUAAUUAGAAAUUUCUAGCCUAAACCUCCAUGGAUAUAUUCAGUGAACAUGCCAUAUUUCUGUCACUUUGCAACUUACGUAUCUACAUCUCAUUAACUGCCUAUAUUUCUGAUGUUCAGUUUAUUGCUCAUCUAUUGCCAGGUUUAUUUUCAGGCUAUAUUAAAUGUGUCAAGGUGAAAUUCCAGUUUAUUUUCAGUGGGCUAUGGCUCAUCUACUGCCAGGUUUGUUGCUUUCUUGGUUUUAGUUUAAAUAGCUUCUGGUUGAUUAGAUGGUUGCCAUUGUAAUUUGUGUUGUUUAAUAUGCCCUGAUCCAUCAAAGGGUGCACAAUGGCAAAUUCAUGACAAGUGUGCAUCUAACUGCAUUAAUUAGACUUUAUUGUGAAUCCUCAUAAUGUGUUUUUUAAUAAUAAUGAUGAUGGAUUGUCGCCCCUGGAUAUGUGCCACAAGUACAAAUUUUAUAUUAUACUUAUUUUUUACAAACACGUGCGUGCCGCACGUGCAUCCUACUAGUAGAGCUAAUGAUACAUAUUUAAUUUUAAAGAAAAAUAUCAAUGGUACAAACUAAAGUAGAGUCAAAAUAGAAUUAGUUUAAAGUUUAGAAAGUUGAGAUCUAACAUGCUAAAUAAACGAUUAAUAAAAUAACUAACUGAAUUCAAGAUGAAGGUAGUACCACAAUUCGUGAUAGAAUCAACAGGAAGUUGGUAAUGAAUAUUUCCUUUUCAGUGGAGGAAUGCUCAUAUGCCUGGGUCACCAAGCUUGUUACUAUAAGUUAUUCCGUUUAGAAGUUUGGAGCAUUGUUGCUUGCUGCAUUAGUGCUAACGAUCUCCCUAACUCUAUGGAUCAGUAUUGGAGCUGGUGUCAAAAAUGGAUUCCUAGAAAUAUUCAGAUGCACUCCUUUGUGCUUUGUGCUGGUGGGCAUUUGCUAGGCUAUCUGGAAAGCGAGGAAUAAAGCUUGCUUUGAAAAUAAGCACAAAGCUCGACUCUAGAUCAUUGCAAGGUUAAGUAGCUGGCUGCAAAGGCUAAAACUUUCAGCAACGGCUAGUACUACUGGUCAGAACAGGUAGUCCAAAUGCAUAGCCAGGCAAGAAUGAUGAAUGGCGGAUUUCGUACAUUGGAAAGGCCAACGUCAAAAUCCAGAGCUCGUGGCAGGCGGUGACAGCGGCGGGGGCACCUGAUCAAGGGAGUCGAACAUGUCCGGUGGGAGGUCGUCGAAGAAGUCUGGCGCGUCCGGGGGCUCCGGCUUGACUCCACCCUGCGCGCACUCCGUGCCGAAGAACGGGAACAUCAUCGGAGGGGAUAUCAUCGGAAGCAGCUCCUGGUAGGCGAGAUCAUCCAUAGCGCCGGCAUUGACGAACCCGCCGGGAGCCAUGUUCCAACACUCCGGCAUCCCUGGGUAGUCAAGCAGAGGGUACGGAGGCUCAUCGAACGGCGACUUUUGAAGCAGCGGGGCUGCAUUUGACGACGAGCACUCGUGGCUGUCGGUGCCCGGCGCUAACGGCGGCAGCGCUCCGUUGAAGCUGAGAACCCCGGAGGCCAACUGAUCGUACGGGACCAGUGCAGCAUUCCGGGCGUCCAUGAAUGGUGUUGCUGCGCUGCACGGGUGGACGUCGGAGCUGCUCCCGAAUGUAACUCGAUCCAAGCUUGGACCCUGAUGACAGUUGAGAGCUCACAUCUCCAUCAAACAAAAAAAAUGUACACUAAUACACGAAGAAGAAAGCAAUUUCAUACUAGGCACGUAUGUUUGUUAAAAGAAAGAUUCUGGGCAUAAA